UACGUAGGGUGCGAGCGUUGUCCGGAAUUAUUGGGCGUAAAGAGCUUGUAGGUGGCUCGUUGCGUCGGGAGUGAAAACCUGCGGCUUAACCGCAGGCCUGCUUCCGAUACGGGCGAGCUAGAGUUCGGCAGGGGAGACUGGAAUUCCUGGUGUAGCGGUGGAAUGCGCAGAUAUCAGGAGGAACACCGGUGGCGAAGGCGGGUCUCUGGGCCGAUACUGACGUGAGACGCGAAAGCGUGGGGAGCGAACAGG
rnacentral:rRNA from 1 species